rnacentral:lncRNA from 1 species
CUCACAUACAUUACUUUUUUUGAUCUCCACAAUAAUUCUGAUAGGGCAGGCAUGGUUAUUCCUAGGAAAUGAAGAAAGAAAGAGUGAGAGAAAGAGAGAGAGAGAGAAAGAGAAAGAGAAAGAGAAAGAGAGAGAGAGCGCGAGAGAGAAUGAAUGAAUUAGCCGAACUGAGAACAGGCUCCAGGUUUCCUAACUCCUGGUCCCAUGAACUUUCCAUUUCACAAAGCUACUUUCCCUGCAAUCCCUUGGGUAAUCCUGUGGUUAAUUCUUGACUUAGCAGAAAGUAGGGAAGAGGUAGUAUAAAAAAAAGCCACUAUUCAAGUGGUAACGAACAAUAAAUAUAAAAGGAGAGAUUGCACCCGCUGUUGAUCUGGAAAUUGAAAAUAGGGUCAAAGCCUGGACUCAUGCUCUCUGGCUCCAGACUCACUAUGUUCUAUCAGAAAAUCACGCGUAGCUGGAGUAUUGCUAAGUGGAAGAGGGGUUUUGUUGUUGCUACCAUGCUGAAAGUCAUUUACAUACUCAGAACAACACCUUUCCAGUUUUCCUAUAGGACUGUGAAUGUCUUCCCAAGGCAUUUAGGAAGCUAUAAAGAAAUGAUAAAGAGGAAUGCUUGUCUGUGCUCAGCAGCAGAUGUCGUGGUGUACCCCAGUCCUGCUGUAGGACUGAAGCACUUGUUCUCUAGCUGCCCAGAGCAAAUGACUUCUGACAAGCCACAUCUGGGUCCCUUCCAAGUUCUUGCCCUUGGAUGAAGGGAGCUAUCUCAUCCUGGGUCGCAGACCCUUUCCAAGGGCAACUCUCAUCCAGUGGCUAGCCAGUGAAGGGGUACACAGCCAUGGCCCUUUUCCCUCCAUGCAGGACCACUCUGAAGGGUCAUCUCAGUUUCCAAACCCCUCCUUUCUUGUAAGAUUGGGGAGGCCUCUGUUGCAACUGCAUGUCAGGGCAGCCAGUCCCUCCCCAUCCUGCUCUUUUACUUUCUUGCAGGUUUAGCUCCUGAGUGUGCGAUUCGACUAAACUUCUGCAUCCAAAUCUCCAUCUCAGAGUCUUCCAGAAAACCUACAACAGAUUAAUUCCUUCUCUCUGCAAUUGGUUAUGAAGAUACUCAGCCAUUUUUGUGACUUCCAUCAUAUGGUUUUAUCAAUCUGUCAGUCAUAAGUACUUUUUGAUCACUUGGUGCUAGAGGAGUCACAAAACCCAAAAACAACAAAAUAAACCCCAAAAUAUCUGUGUUCAGUUUUCAGCUUCUUUUCAGAAUUAUCCAAUAGAAAUUUAUAACUGAGUUCCAGUAUAAUGUUGAGUACCAGAAAAAUAUUUAGUUUUUUCUUUCCUGUUAAUUGCAACAGGGUACAGUACCAGAAUAGGUGCUACUCCUAGUGGCUUAAGCAAUAAGGGAUUUAUUUAUUUUUAUUUUUUAUGUUUUUUUGAGACAGAGUUUCGCUCUUGUUGCCCAGGCUGGAGUGCAAUGGCAUGAUCUCGGUUCACUGCAGGCUCCACCUCGCAGGUUCACGUGAUUCUCCUGCCUCAGCCUCCCAAGUAGCUGGGAUUACAGUCAUGCACCACUAUGCCCAGGUAAUUUUGUACUUUUAGUAGAGACAGGGUUUCACCGUAUUGGUCAGGUCAGGCUGGUCUCAAUCUGCUGACCUCAGAUGACCCACCUGCCUCAGCCUCCCAAAGUGCUGGCAUGAGCCACCUCACCCGGCCUAAGAAGGGAUUUAUUAUAGGGUACUAGGUGGCUUACAGAAUCAUGUGAGGGCUGAAGAAAUGAACUUGAGGUUGAGCUUUCCACAGAAAUUCCCAAAGGCCCACCACAGAACUAAACCACCAAGAGAGCUGCUGCUGCUACGCCUAGGUGGAUGCAGAAUUGCAUUGAUACGACCCUAAUCCUGAAGCCACCGCUUUCAGGGUGCCUUCCCUCCUACUGCUAAUUCUAGAACCCUACUGCACCUGCUGCUAUCUGGACCACAAAAUGUGUGCCUUUUACCCUGCCUCUCAGGAACCACAGAAUAGUGACCAUAUUCUGCAUCCUCUGCUAAUGAUGCCACAGAAGUCCAAGAGCAUCCAUCAGAAAUAGCUGUGGCAGUAGAGGUGUGACCACUGCCAUCGUCCACAUCUCACACUCGGGCAUCUAAUGGCUAAAUCCAAAUCACAUCUGGAAUCCUUUCUCAAGGGAUUCCUGGAAUCAUAGCAUUCAGCUUCCCAAUGAUGGAGGUACAGAAAGGCAUGCUGGAAGAGUGUUUUCCAAAAGUUCUGACAUAUUCUACUGUAGAAUCAUUUUCCUCACACAUACAUACAGUCACAUACGCAUCUACCUGAAAUAAAAGAUUCACAAGACAGUUGAGGCACCCUGAUGGUUUCAAUUCUAGUCUAUGCUGAGCAGUGCUAUGCUAUUCCAUGCUAUUUCAUUCCAUUAAGAAAUGCUGGUCUUGACCCACUAAGUUGGUUUCGUGAUGGACUAAUGGACGAUAACUGGCAGUUUGGAAAAACACUUCACAACAAGAAGGGAGAAAUGGAUGUUGAGUGCCAAUCCACAAUAUCUACGAUACUAUUUUAUACUAUUCCUUCCCCUGUCCUGAAUUGACAGAAAGAAUUCAAGGCUGCUCACAGAAGGGACUCAGUGAUAUGAUAAACUGCAUAGUGAACUGAGGAUCAAAAGUAGCUUCUAGUCCAUGGACCAGCAGUUUAUUUGUUUGUAAAUGAGAGCGUUGUGAUAGUUCUGUGUUGUAAUGACCGGAUUGACACCUACCUAGUAGGAAAACUGAGGGAAAUGUUGACCAGUCUAUACCUUGUACCUUUUACUAGAGGAUGGAUUAAGCCCACGAGGGAGUUUUGAUGGCAAAUGCACUAUGGUGUGCCUUUAGAAGCAACUGUUGUACUCCUGAAAAAUAUUAGUUGGCUUUAGUCCAGUUCCUGGUUUUGCAUGUAGGUGUAAAACUAAUGAUUCAUUCUGAGAGCAUGGGGGUAUAUAUUGAAUGUGAGAAGCAUGACUCAUUCACCUGCCCCAUGUUUGAAAAGCAAUUGUUAAUUACACUGUUAACAUUUGUUAAGACUUUAAUUUCUUCAUGUAGAGCUUUUAGGUAAAAGCUUAUAUUUACCAAUAACUGGGGCUUUCAAUGAGAACUUUUUUCCUGAUGCAGUGCUGGUUGGAAGGUAAUUGGUUUCAAAAAAGAAAAGCCCAUUGAGAAGGCAGAACAAAGAAACGUUUAACACAUGUUUCAUCUGUGCCAAAUAGUACACCAAGCAUUUCCAUGCACAAUCACUCGUGUAGUCCUUACAAUAGCUCUUAAUGAAGAAAUUAUGAUUUUCCUUUUUGUAGAUGAGGGAGAAAGGCUUAAAGAGAUUAAAAGGGAUUCACCCAAGGUCAUUAAACUAGAAAGUGAAAGCAUGGAAUUCACAUUCAAUUUUGGAUGACUCACACCUCCUACUUUUCCUACUGUUCCAGGAUGUCUCUGUUGCUUUCAUUAUUUGUUCAAGGUGAAUAUAAGUCAAAACAAAACCCCUCAACACAAACUUUAUUAGCAAGACGGUAAUUUUUAUCUUUUGGAAAAAAGAGACCUUCUAAUGGGUCCUUCAGCUGCCCAUUUCAUCUCUUCCUUAGCCAUAUUUUCCUCUUUUUAGGACCCUGAUAUCUAAAAGCAACAGAGAAUUGAACAGAUGAUUUGUGGGCAUUAUUUUGGUUUCAUAUCUUUUAUGGUUUUCUUUUGGUUGUGAUUGCAUUUAAGGAAACCGGAAGAAUUUGUGUUAAGGAAAGAAUAUGUUUCCCCAAAGUUCAUAUGUUGAAGUCCUAACCUAGAUGUGAUGGUAUUUGAAGGUGGGGCCUUUUGAAGGUAAUUAGGUUUAGAGGAAGUCGUUAGGAAGAGCCCACAUGAUGAAAUUAGUGCCCUUAUAGGAAGAGGAAGAGACUGGAGAGCUUGCGCUCUCUCUACUGUAAGGAGACAGCAAGAAGGCAUCUAUGUCUCUGCACGCCAGGAAGAGAGAGCACCAGAACCCAACCACGCUGGCACCUUGAUUUUGGACUUCUAGUCUCCAGCACUGUAAGAAGAAAAUUUCUGUUGUUUAAACCACCCAUUUUAUAGUAUUUUGUUAUGGCAGCCUGAGCUAAGACAGUAAGUAACCUAAAACACUUCCCUAAACACCUCUAUAAACUUAACGCAAGUGCCGGUCAUGUUUAUGACACUUUGAUUGUGUAUGGUUGUAGCAAUGUGAAAAAUGCCAAACUUGUAAAAUAUGUGAAAAAGAUCUGCAAAACGUUCAUGCCUCUUUAAACACUUGACUCUUAAUAUUUGUUUUCAAAUUUUUUCUCUUUUAGCAAAAAUACACAAAAUUAAGUAAAAUACUAGGACUAAAAGGAACCCAAUUCAAUGUGAUUCUUCACCCAUGCAAUCUGGUUACCCUCAGUGCAGAGGUUGAGCUGACAUUUGUACCUACUGACAGGAUAUAAUUUGUGACUUUGGGGAACAUGGUUGCACACUUUUGAGAAUCACUUUUUUAAUGCUAAUUAGCUUAUUUAAAUUUUUUUUUUAUGGUUUCUUAUAUGUAAGCCAAUAUAUAGUCCGCAUGGUUCUGCUAAUAGUCCUUAGAAGCUGGCAAUGAUGUCCUUCGCAGAGAUGGUAGAAUCCUCUGUGUGAUUCUUUCAGAGUGUGUGAUGAGUUACAGGAAAACGGCAGUUUCCAAAACAGUUCUGCAAACCACUUCAUCGUAAUCUUCAUAAUAGUCACCAUUUAUUUAUGCACCAGAGACUGUGUUGAAAACUUUGUAAGCUUUAUGUAAUUUAAUCUUCCCCUAACCAUAAUCUUAAUGAUAAUAGUCACCAUUUAUUUAUGCACCAGGGUGUGUUUGAGCACACUGUAAGCUCUAUGUAAUUGAAUCUUCCCCUAACCCACCACUGGCUGGUCUGACCCUGCUGUGCUCUCUCUCUCCCAUGCUAUUCUGCCUCUUCUUUGGAGGGGCCCAUUGUCAGGCCUGAAGCUGGGUAUCUGACCAGGUUGUGCCCUGUCCUACACGGGAGUGGGAACUGCUCUGUACCUAGGCGUCUGCCACUGACUCAGAAGUCCAGG